UACGAAGGGUGCAAGCGCUAAUCGGAAUUACUGGGCGUAAAGCGCACGUAGGCGGAUUGUUAAGUCGGGGGUGAAAUCCUGGAGCUCAACUCCAGAACUGCCUUCGAUACUGGCGAUCUCGAGUUCGGGAGAGGUGAGUGGAACUGCGAGUGUAGAGGUGAAAUUCGUAGAUAUUCGCAAGAACACCAGUGGCGAAGGCGGCUCACUGGCCCGAUACUGACGCUGAGGUGCGAAAGCGUGGGGAGCGAACAGG
rnacentral:rRNA from 1 species